rnacentral:rRNA from 1 species
UACGAAGGGGGCAAGCGUUACUCGGAAUUACUGGGCGUAAAGCGUGCGUAGGCGGUUUGUUAAGUCUGUCGUGAAAGCCCUGGGCUCAACCUAGGAAUGGCGAUGGAUACUGGCAAGCUAGAGUACGGUAGAGGAUGGUGGAAUUCCCGGUGUAGCGGUGAAAUGCGUAGAGAUCGGGAGGAACACCCGUGGCGAAGGCGGCCAUCUGGACCAGUACUGACGCUGAGGCACGAAAGCGUGGGGAGCAAACAGG